rnacentral:rRNA from 1 species
UUAUUGGAGAGUUUGAUCCUGGCUCAGGACGAACGCUGGCGGCGUGCCUAAUACAUGCAAGUCGAGCGGACAGAUGGGAGCUUGCUCCCUGAUGUUAGCGGCGGACGGGUGAGUAACACGUGGGUAACCUGC